AGAGUUUGAUCCUGGCUCAGGACGAACGCUGGCGGCGCGCUUAACACAUGCAAGUCGUACGGGGCUCCUUCGGGGGUUCAGUGGCGAACGGGUGCGUAACACGUGAGCAAUCUGCCCUUGUGCGGGGGAUAACCAGAGGAAACUCUGGCUAAUACCGCAUGAAAUCCUUUGGCUGAUGGCCGUUGGAUCAAAGCUGCUGUAAGGCAGUGCGCAGGGAGGAGCUCGCGGCGUAUCAGCUAGUUGGUGAGGUAACGGCUCACCAAGGCUAUGACGCGUAGGGGGUCUGAGAGGAUGGCCCCCCACAUUGGGACUGAGAUACGGCCCAGACUCCUACGGGAGGCAGCAGUGGGGAAUCUUGCGCAAUGGCCGAAAGGCUGACGCAGCGACGCCGCGUGCGGGAGGACGCUUUUCGGAGUGUAAACCGCUGUCGGGUGGGACGAAGGUCCAGGGCAGGAAAUGGCCUUGGGAUGACGGUACCGCCAAAGGAAGCACCGGCUAACUCCGUGCCAGCAGCCGCGGUAAUACGGAGGGUGCGAGCGUUGUUCGGAAUUAUUGGGCGUAAAGCGCACGUAGGCGGCUUUGUAAGUCUCACUGUGAAAGCCCGGGGCUCAACCCCGGGACUGCAGGGGAUACUGCGAGGCUAGAGACAAGUAGAGGUUGGUAGAAUUCCGGGUGUAGCGGUGGAAUGCGUAGAGAUCCGGAGGAAUACCAGAGGCGAAGGCGGCCAACUGGACUUGUUCUGACGCUGAGGUGCGAAAGCGUGGGGAGCGAACAGGAUUAGAUACCCUAGUAGUCC
rnacentral:rRNA from 1 species